rnacentral:rRNA from 1 species
GACGAACGCUGGCGGCGUGCUUAACACAUGCAAGUCGAACGGAAAGGCCCUGCUUUUGUGGGGUGCUCGAGUGGCGAACGGGUGAGUAACACGUGAGUAACCUGCCCUUGACUUUGGGAUAACUUCAGGAAACUGGGGCUAAUACCGGAUAGGAGCUCCUGCUGCAUGGUGGGGGUUGGAAAGUCUCGGCGGUUGGGGAUGGACUCGCGGCUUAUCAGCUUGUUGGUGGGGCAGUGGCUUACCAAGGCUUUGACGGGUAGCCGGCCUGAGAGGGUGACCGGCCACAUUGGGACUGAGAAACGGCCAAGACUCAUGCGGGAGACAGCAGGGGCGAAUAUGACACAAUGGGCGGAAUCCUGAUGCAGCAACGCGCCGUGCGGGAUGACGGCAUUCGGGUUGUAAACCGCUUUCGCCUGUGACGGAGCCUGAGUGACGGUAAUGAGUAAAGAAGCACCGGCUAACUACGUG